rnacentral:rRNA from 1 species
GUUUGAUCCUGGCUCAGGACGAACGCUGGCGGCGUGCUUAACACAUGCAAGUCGAACGAUGAAGCCGCUUCGGUGGUGGAUUAGUGGCGAACGGGUGAGUAACACGUGGGCAAUCUGCCCUGCACUCUGGGACAAGCCCUGGAAACGGGGUCUAAUACCGGAUAUGACUACUGAUCGCAUGGUUGGUGGUGGAAAGCUCCGGCGGUGCAGGAUGAGCCCGCGGCCUAUCAGCUUGUUGGUGGGGUGAUGGCCUACCAAGGCGACGACGGGUAGCCGGCCUGAGAGGGCGACCGGCCACACUGGGACUGAGACACGGCCCAGACUCCUACGGGAGGCAGCAGUGGGGAAUAUUGCACAAUGGGCGAAAGCCUGAUGCAGCGACGCCGCGUGAGGGAUGACGGCCUUCGGGUUGUAAACCUCUUUCAGCAGGGAAGAAGCGAGAGUGACGGUACCUGCAGAAGAAGCGCCGGCUAACUACGUGCCAGCAGCCGCGGUAAUACGUAGGGCGCGAGCGUUGUCCGGAAUUAUUGGGCGUAAAGAGCUCGUAGGCGGCUUGUCACGUCGGAUGUGAAAGCCCGGGGCUUAACCCCGGGUCUGCAUUCGAUACGGGCAGGCUAGAGUUCG